AAUGUGGAUGGGAUCCCUGGAGCUCAAAACACACCAUAUGCAUUCGGUCUAUUCUCAGUCCUCCUUGUCGUCCUAGGUGUCGUGCUUAUUGCUGUUGGGUUGCUAUACCUUGGGUUAAAAAAGCCUAUCAGUGAAGAACAGGUCGAAAUUAGGAAACUCGAAUUGCAGGAGCUGGUCAACAUGUUCCAACAUGAGGCUGAGACGCAUGCACAGGUUCAUAAACAUAUCUCGAGGCAUAACUUGCCCCCAACAGCUGGUGAUAAGUUCAUUCAAAAUGCAAAUUACGUUCUUAUGUAAUGACUUCAACUGCCCUUGGAACCAUUCAUUGGUAGG
rnacentral:misc_RNA from 1 species